UUCAAGCAGCUGAGCAAUGCUAAGCAAGUUUCUAUCAAUAUCAGGCACAAACAAGACAUUUGUAACAAGUUUGGUACCUGUAAGAAUGUCUAUCAGCACAUCUCCUUUCUCAACUUUGAUGAAGUGUCCAUUUCUAACCUUUACCCUUGUUUUGAAGCUUUUGUUAAUUGACUUAAAAAUGCCAGCAUCAGGGGUCAUGUGGUUUGUACAACCACUGUCUAUCAGUCAUCCUUCUGUGGCUUUUCUUUUGGUAGAUGAGCAAGAGACAGCAAAAACUCAUUCUUCUUGAUCACUUUCUUCUUCUGCCACUUGAGCUUCAGCUCUUGGCUGC
rnacentral:lncRNA from 1 species